rnacentral:rRNA from 1 species
CUACGGGAGGCAGCAGUAGGGAAUCUUCCGCAAUGGGCGAAAGCCUGACGGAGCAACGCCGCGUGAGUGAUGAAGGUCUUCGGAUGGUAAAACUCUGGUAUUAGGGAAGAACAAAUGUGUAAGUAACUAUGCACGUCUUGACGGUACCUAAUCAGAAAACCACGGCUAACUACGUGCCAGCAGCCGCGGUAAU